rnacentral:rRNA from 1 species
GUCCACGCCCUAAACGAUGUCAACUAGCCGUUGGGUUCAUUAAAGAGCUUAGUGGCGCAGCUAACGCGAUAAGUUGACCGCCUGGGGAGUACGGCCGCAAGGUUAAAACUCAAAGGAAUUGACGGGGGCCCGCACAAGCGGUGGAGCAUGUGGUUUAAUUCGAUGCAACGCGAAGAACCUUACCAGGCCUUGACAUCCUGCGAACUUUCUAGAGAUAGAUUGGUGCCUUCGGGAACGCAGUGA